UAAGGCCACGUUUGAUGCACAUGGAUUUUACUGUGCAUCAGGGUAAAAUUGCCGAUUUUGUACGGCUUUUCGUGAUGCAAUCAAACGCAGUAAAAAUCUCCUCGUCGAAACCGAUGGAGCAGGGUAAAUUUACCCUGAAAAAAAGUCGGACCCUCCAGGGUCCGACUUUUUACCGUGGAUUUUUUUUUUGCCUGUUCGGGCUUUGUCUGUUCUCACGCCGCACGCGAUGGAGCAGCCGGCGAUUCCACCCUGGCUUCUCCAUUUUCAUUUUCGCAGUGGACAGCCUGCGAACUCUCCCUCUCCGCGCAGGGGAACUCACUCUCCGGCGACAAAAAGUUCUCCUACAACGUGCGGCUGAUCCAGGUGAGGCUCUAUUUGUUAUGCCCGCGUUAAGAUGGGCUGUUUGGGAACCCUACCGCCUCUCUUCUUGCUCAUUCGGGUGAAUAGAGGAGGAGUUAAGAGAGAAUGAGGAAGGGAGAGAAUGAGAGCCAAAAAGAGCGAGAGAGGGAAUGAAAGAGUGAGAAAGGGAGCACGAGAGACGAGGAAGGGGGACGGAAGAGAAGAGGGGGGGAUAGAGAGAGAGAGAGAGGAACGCGAGGAAGAAGAAGGGCACUAAUAGUAAUGGUAAAAUCGUUUGAGAUUUUCAAUUUUUUCUUUUAAUCGUUAAUUUUUCUUUUGGAUUAAUGGGUUGGGCAAUUAGCUUGCCCAUCUGAAUAAAGGAAUUCCAGUUUUAACAAUUGAUGGCAUGAGUUUUGUGACGUAGAAAAAUUAGUACGUUGGGUAAAUUUUGGGGUUUUCCUUUCGAUAUGAAGAAAAAUUGAGUGAUGAGUGUGGGAGAGCCUUGUAACAGUAUAUGAAUCACUCUUUUACUCUGCUGGCUUCGAUUACUGCCUGCUCAUGUAUCUUUUCUGCAAAACUAAGGAAGCUUCGGUCAGAUUUCAAGGAUGGGGGUUCUGUUACUGCUGGAAAUGCUUCUGAGAUCAGAAAGGUAUAAAUGUUGCAGUGUAAGAAGAAAGACGCAUUCAUUUCAAAUAUGAAUGUACCAUAACUAAGGCGUCUAUGGAAGUUACAUUUCGGAGGGUCGUACACUGACGGGCAGGGUAUGGAUGGUUGUGCUUCCAUGAGCGUCAUAACAAUUUCCUCUAAACCUCCAUUUUCCUGUUUCAA